rnacentral:miRNA from 1 species
ACUUGAGGGGCAUGAGGAU